GAUGAACGCUGGCGGCGUGCCUAAUACAUGCAAGUCGAGCGAACGGACGAGAAGCUUGCUUCUCUGAUGUUAGCGGCGGACGGGUGAGUAACACGUGGAUAACCUACCUAUAAGACUGGGAUAACUUCGGGAAACCGGAGCUAAUACCGGAUAAUAUUUUGAACCGCAUGGUUCAAAAGUGAAAGACGGUCUUGCUGUCACUUAUAGAUGGAUCCGCGCUGCAUUAGCUAGUUGGUAAGGUAACGGCUUACCAAGGCAACGAUGCAUAGCCGACCUGAGAGGGUGAUCGGCCACACUGGAACUGAGACACGGUCCAGACUCCUACGGGAGGCAGCAGUAGGGAAUCUUCCGCAAUGGGCGAAAGCCUGACGGAGCAACGCCGCGUGAGUGAUGAAGGUCUUCGGAUCGUAAAACUCUGUUAUUAGGGAAGAACAUAUGUGUAAGUAACUGUGCACAUCUUGACGGUACCUAAUCAGAAAGCCACGGCUAACUACGUGCCAGCAGCCGCGGUAAUACGUAGGUGGCAAGCGUUAUCCGGAAUUAUUGGGCGUAAAGCGCGCGUAGGCGGUUUUUUAAGUCUGAUGUGAAAGCCCACGGCUCAACCGUGGAGGGUCAUUGGAAACUGGAAAACUUGAGUGCAGAAGAGGAAAGUGGAAUUCCAUGUGUAGCGGUGAAAUGCGCAGAGAUAUGGAGGAACACCAGUGGCGAAGGCGACUUUCUGGUCUGUAACUGACGCUGAUGUGCGAAAGCGUGGGGAUCAAACAGGAUUAGAUACCCUGGUAGUCCACGCCGUAAACGAUGAGUGCUAAGUGUUAGGGGGUUUCCGCCCCUUAGUGCUGCAGCUAACGCAUUAAGCACUCCGCCUGGGGAGUACGACCGCAAGGUUGAAACUCAAAGGAAUUGACGGGGACCCGCACAAGCGGUGGAGCAUGUGGUUUAAUUCGAAGCAACGCGAAGAACCUUACCAAAUCUUGACAUCCUUUGACAACUCUAGAGAUAGAGCCUUCCCCUUCGGGGGGGCAAAGUGACAGGUGGUGCAUGGUUGUCGUCAGCUCGUGUCGUGAGAUGUUGGGUUAAGUCCCGCAACGAGCGCAACCCUUAAGCUUAGUUGCCAUCAUUAAGUUGGGCACUCUAAGUUGACUGCCGGUGACAAACCGGAGGAAGGUGGGGAUGACGUCAAAUCAUCAUGCCCCUUAUGAUUUGGGCUACACACGUGCUACAAUGGACAGUACAAAGGGCAGCGAAACCGCGAGGUCAAGCAAAUCCCAUAAAGUUGUUCUCAGUUCGGAUUGUAGUCUGCAACUCGACUACAUGAAGCUGGAAUCGCUAGUAAUCGUAGAUCAGCAUGCUACGGUGAAUACGUUCCCGGGUCU
rnacentral:rRNA from 1 species